GCGACCCCAGGUCAGGUGGGAUUACCCGCUGA
rnacentral:rRNA from 1 species